rnacentral:sRNA from 1 species
AUGUCUAACAGACCUAUCAGCCAAGAUCAAGGAGAUAUUGCAGUAUUUAUACUUGUUGAAAACCAACCUCUUAGCUACUGCGAGUGGCAUGAGAUUUACUGAUGCUCCUAGGUCACAAAGGCAUGUAUUGAAAGUCAAUGAACCUAGGGAGCAUGGUAGAGUGAAUGAACCAGGGUCUCCUGGCUUUUCUGGGACAUCGUUCUCCUGUAUGAUGGCAUUGCACUCAUGGCUUAGAACUGUUGUUUUUUGAACCUCUUGAAUUCUCUCCAUGAUCAAGUCUUUGAGGAACUUUUGGGAAUCCGGGAUACGCGUUAGAGCAUCAGCAACAGGUAUCCUUAAUUCGACUUCCUUGAUGUUCUCGGCAAACAUAGCUCUGUACUUUUCUUCUAACUCUUUCUUAUGUCGACUAGGAAAUGAAAGUGGGGGCUUGUAAGGAUGAGGAAUGAAGACUUUUUCUUUGUUUUUGACAGCAACAUGUUUCGGAGCAGUUGGUGAUAUUGCUGGGAAGGUCGGUCGAGUGAAGUGGUCGAGUGGCAGCUCGAGUGACAGGUCGAGUGGCUGCUCGAGUGACUAGUCGAGUGGCUGCUCGAGUAACUGGUCAAGUGGCUGCUCGAGUGACUGGUCGAGUGGCUGCUCGAGUGACUGGUCGAGUGGCUGCUCGAGUGACUGGUCGAGUGGCUGCUCGAGUAACUGGUCGAGUGGCUGCUCGAGUGACUGGUCGAGUGGCUGCUCGAGUUGUUUGUCAGCUUGAUCUUUAUUGAGACUGAAAUCCUCCCCAUCUUGGUAUGCACUGUCCUCAGUGACUGACUUGGGUCUCUCUCGAGUGGAUAACUCACUUCCACUCCUUAUGUUGAUAGCAUGAACAUUAGCAUACUCCUUGGGAUUCUGAAUUGACUUCCUUGGAAGUCUCGUAACUUUGGGAGCAGAGGAAGAUGCGGAUUGUCCUUCUAAGUAUCUGACUUUGGAAUUCAACGCCUCCACUUUUGCAUUAAGGUCAUUGUAGUUGCAGGCCAGCUUGUGGUGCAAUUCAGAUAACUUCUUAGCAAUUUCCAUGGAGCUAGAUGCUUGUCCAUGUAGCAGUUGUUGUACCAUCUGUUUCAUUUCAGCAUCAGGAGCAGUACGACCUUGGUUUUGCUGAGGUGCAAACCCAGGUGGUUGUUGCUGGUAGUUCCCCUGAAAUUGUUGCUUGGGAACGAAACCUUGAUUGUAGGGAACAAAAGGUUUGUUCUGACCUUGUUGUUGUUGUGGAGGAUACACUUGAUCUUCAGGAUUAGCAACGUUGGUGCUGCGGUAGGAGAGGUUGGGGUUGUUGGUUUUGAAGUUGUUGUAUCGUUUGUAACCACCCUGAUUGUUGUUGAUGUAGCUGACUUCUUCCAACUGGUUACCCUCCCCAUCUUGGACUUGAACCUGCUCGUCAUCAACAAGGAAGUGCACAUGCUUCUGCUGGCUAAGAAGAAUCCUGUCCAGCUUGUCAUUCAACGCUUUGAUCUCCUUCCUGUGUUUGUCAUCAGAGUCAGCUGUUCCUCUGACGGUCCUAUCACAGUCCUCGUUGUAAUUGCCAUCUGAUUGAGCGAGGUUCUCAACCAAUUCCCAGCCUUCUUCAACAUCCUUGUUCUGGAAAUUCCCAUUGCUGGCGGUAUCCAGAAGCAUUCUGAUGCGUGGUAGACUCCUUUGUAAAUAGUGCUGAGCAGAGAGGCUUUAGUAAAGCCGUGAUGAGGGCAUUGGUUGGUGUAACCCUUGAAACGCUACCAUGCUUCACAGAAGCUUUCACCAGUCUUCUGUGAGAAACAAGAAAUCUCAUUUCUGAGUCUUGCAGUUCUGGCAUUGGAGAAAAACUUUGAUAAAAAAGCUUUCUUGCAAUCAUCCCAGGUGGUGAUUGAGUCAUGGGGCAGAUUCUUCUCCCAGAUGUGUGCUUUGUCGCCCAAGGAGACUGGAAACAAACGGAGCUUGAAUCCGUCUUCACUGACACCAUUGAUCUUUGUUAGGUUGUAGAGCCUAUCGAAUUCAUCAAGGUGGUCGAGUGGAUCCUCCAUUGGCAGACCAUAGAAUUUAUUCCCCUGAAUCAUCGAGAUGUGACCACUCUUAAUCUCGAAGUUGUUGUUCUGGAUAGCAGGAGGUGCAAUUCCUUUCCUUUGACGGUGGUCCCGUGGUGCAUCUCCAGCACCAAUGUUUGUAGGGCCAUUCUGUUGAAUUUGUUCGUCAGCCAUUUCGAGUCGUUGCUGCGGUAUAAGGUUGACUAUGUUUCUCCUUUCUCUAAGUUCACGAACUAGGCGGUCGAUGUUAUCAUUGAAAAGGAGGUUCUGGUUGCCUGUUGAUCGAGUUUGAAUAUAGUAGAGAUGUACCUCGGUCGAGAAGACAACAAGAAAAACACACAGUCAGUAACUAAAAUGAAAAUUGAAAAAGAACUUGAUCGAAGCAAGUCUGAAAUCUCAAAUGUAACAAACAAACACCCAAUUGGCAACGACGCCAAAUUGAUAAUAGGUUUUUCAGAUCAUUUAUCCUAAAACACCAAUCAUAUCGUUGUAGUAUUUUAGGUUGUCAAUCCAAAUGGGUGUGAUGCUAACAAUCCAGAUGUGAUCAGAAGUCACUAAGUCAAGCCAAGCAAUAACAGGUUUUGGUGUGUUCUAGCAGUCCUAAGUGAACGUGCUCUUUGCAGAGCACUGGGUGAGGUCGAAUGACAGGUCGAGUAACAGACAGAAAAUGAAACACAGAUACUCGACUUCACAGUCUGUUGCCAGACAACUAGGUGGUCGAGUAUAAGGUCGAGUAACAAGAAAGAACUUCAGAAAUUAAGCGACAGAUAACAAGAUGCAGUAAACAACAGUAGAGUAAACAAAGAAUUCAAUCAGAUAAAGAAUUCCCGAGGAUGGGGUAAUUGAGUAGAUUCGUUUUCUCAGUUUACAAGAGAUUGACAUGCUCAAUAAAUUAACCCUAGACAACAAGUUCAUUAACCAAAUCUAAGUGCCACCGCAACAGAAACCCUCAAGUUAACCUAGUCCCAGACUCAAUCACCAUUGACGAGAGCUAACCUAACAGGCAUUACGAAUCAACAAGUUAAAGCCAAAACGCUCCCUGCAACCAAUACCUUGGUACAGGGUCACGAAUCUCUGGAAUUAGUGGUUCAGACAUUUCAUCGAACACCUUUUGGGCGCGGAAAUGUCUGGGCUCAAAUUCAAGUUGAUCAGAAAGCAAUAGGCAUUAAAAACAACUAAUCUAUAAGGGAUCUAUCAAUCAAUACUCAAUCACCUAGCAUACUGAGAAUCCUACACUACUCUAACCCAUCCUCAGAAACCUAUUCACUACUCAGACAUCAUAACAGAAAGCAUAAACGUUGAACAGGUUGAAGACAUGAUAACAACAGUGUAACGAAAUCAAGAACAAAAGCUGAAUACUGAAUACUGAAUAGAUAAAGAGAAAUCUGGAUUACAAAAGUCUAGAACACAAGGUCUGCGGAAAUAAAACUCGAUAAAAAACUUCUUGUCUGCGAAAAUGUGAAGUACAUGCUACUUAUAGCCAAAUAUUCUGAAACCCUAAUACUCAAAACGACGAAGUAUUGGGACGGAUUAAGAACUGUACUCGACCCAUGUGGUCGAGUGGGAGGUCGAGUGAAUAGCUGGAGUCUUUUUUUCUUCCUUGUGCUCGAGUGUCUGGUUGAGUGCAGAAUGAAGAAGGCUCUGAAGCUUUUCAUCGAGUAUGCAGUCGAGUGGUGUGAUGGUGAUACUCGAGUUCCAGGUAGAGUGACGAGGUCGUGUAGAUGUCUGGCAAUGGGAUGAAGUCACUCGACCUGGGGGUCAAGUGAUGUGAUCGAGUGAUGGUCAGAAGAUGGAGAUGAAGUCACUCGACCUGGGGGUCGAGUGAGGUGAUCGAGUGGUGGUCAAGAGAUGGAGAUGAAGAAACUCGACUUGGGGGUCGAGUGAUGUGAUAGAGUGGUGGUGUCUUCUACUCGACCUGGGGGUCGAGUGGUCUCUUGAGAUCUUGAAGCUCCUACUUGACCUCUAGGUCGAGUGGUUUGUCAUGAUCAGGUCCGCUUCUUUCAGUUAGCUCAUCGACAGCUCAAAAUCACCUGAAAACAACACAAAUAUGCAACAUGCAUGCAAAACUAUCCUAAACAUGCAAAGUGAUGACAGAUGAUGUGAAAUGGUAUAAAACAGUGAUGAUAUGAUGCUAAAAUGAUGACAAAUGGAUGCUCAAAACAUGCAAAAUACACACUUAUCAAUCAUAUGCAUGCUUACUCACUUAGACUUAACUAAUCAGAAUUCAGUCUAAGUUAGAACUUGAAUCUUAAAAUGAUGGGUAUUUGAAGAACUUGAU